rnacentral:rRNA from 1 species
UACGGAGGAUCCGAGCGUUAUCCGGAUUUAUUGGGUUUAAAGGGUGCGCAGGCGGCCCUGCGCGUCGCGAGUGAAAUCUCCCGGCUCAACUGGGAGGGUGGUCGCGAGACGGCAGGGCUUGAGGCUCGGUGAGGGGCGUGGAAUUCCGGGUGGAGCGGUGAAAUGCGUAGAGAUCCGGAGGAACACCAACGGCGUAGGCAGCGCCCUAGACGAGACCUGACGCUCAGGCACGAAAGCGUGGGGAGCGAACAGG